rnacentral:rRNA from 1 species
CUCGUAGUUGGAUUUCUGUUAAUAAUUUAUAUAAAAUAUUUUGAUGAAUAUUUAUAUAAUAUUAACAUAAUUCAUAUUACUAUAUAUUUUAGUAUAUGAAAUUUUACUUUGAGAAAAUUAGAGUGCUUAAAGCAGGCAUAUGCCUUGAAUACUCCAGCAUGGAAUAAUAUUAAAGAUUUUUAUCUUUCUUAUUGGUUCUAAGAUAAGAAUAAUGAUUAAUAGGGACAGUUGGGGGCAUUUGUAUUUAACAGUCAGAGGUGAAAUUCUUAGAUUUGUUAAAGACAAACUAAUGCGAAAGCAUUUGCCAAGGAUGUUUUCAUUAAUCAAGAACGAAAGUUAGGGGAUCGAAGACGAUCAGAUACCGUCGUAGUCUUAACCAUAAACUAUGCCAACUAGAGAUUGGAGGUUGUUCCUUACUCCUUCAGCACCUUA